GUGCAGCUUCACAGACAUUGGAAAGUGCAGAGAGCUGGCCUCAAACCCAGGGGUGUGGCCAGUGCACUUAGUCAGGGCUCACAGCUGUGUCCCAGGAGGGCAGGGGGGCCUGGAUUUAGGAUAAAUGGGUCAAGAAUGCAUAACAAAGGAGCUGCAGACAAGGAGGCAGGAGCCGCCUGGAAUUGUCAGCAUCUGAUCACCUAAGACCUCCUUUCUUAGCCGAGCCCACUUUUGCUCUAAGGAGAAAGCCGAGCGCUCUUUGGUUGUAUAUGGGAAGGCACACGGUCCUCCCUGGCACUCUGCGUGCCCUGCAUACUGACUUCUUCAGCUCGAGCCAGCCUGCAGUCCUGCUCUGGCAUAGAGCCGGGCUUUGGCAGACCGAUGCCCAGCAUUUUGGGAGCAGGUCUGAGAGAGAACUUAGCAGAGAGGAGAGACCCGGAGCCUCUCGACUGCGUUCCUGCUCCUGGUUCCCAUCGUCCCGGCCCCUGCGCCCUCCCGUCCUGCUGGUGAUAUGGCUAGAUGCCAAAACACCUCUCCUCUGGCCCAAGCUGCUUCUGCACCUGUUUGGGGAUAAUGCUGAUCUCCUAGGGUUGCUGCCGGCACCGUGCAACCUGUUUACUCAGAUAACCCACAUCGGGUUUCCAGCCCAGGCCUGGCACAUAUGGAGGACUCGGCAUAUGUCAGCUCCAGCUGCUGCAUUAAAGAAUAUUUGAUGCCCAGGAAAGAAAAAGGCUCCUGGAAAAUGGGGCAGUGGAAACUUCUGCUGCAGCAGGCACUUUGGGUGCAAAGGGGAACAGAAAGAGCCAAAGCAGUUCAAGUCUGUGCCCAUGAAAGCACUGGCAUAGCUAAGACAGUGAAUCUUGGAGCACCCUGAGAUGAAAACCAUCUCCAGCAGCAGUGCCACCAUGACUCAAGGAAGUCAUCUCUGCGGUGUCCUGAUAUGUUCCAGGAUGGAAUCCGGACUGGUGAAGGUGACCCAUAAACAGGGCAGUGGAGGGAGAGAGUGCAGACCUGGACAGGCCACCCUCGCCACUUGCCUCGCCCAUCACAGGGAUUCUCCUAAGACCCAGUGUCCGGCCAGCUGCUGGUGCUCUGUGGGUGAUGCUGGUAUAUCCUAAUAAUAAUGGGUAAUGGCUGGAAUUCCCUGGUGGCCUAGCGGUUAAGGAUACA